GCAAUCAAGAAGUCAAUACUUACUCAUAUAAUAUUUCAACGCUAUCUUAAGCAGAAAGAGAGUAUAAAAAGUGCUAUUUUUUCCUCUUUUCUGAUGACCUUGACUUUUGACCUUGACCUAAUUUUCAAGGUCAAAGGUCACCGAUCCUAUUCCAGUUGGUCCCAUGUCUCUACGACAAACCGUGCUCAAGCUCGACAUGUUUUACGAAUAUAUCGCAAAACAUAAAGAGGCAUUAACUCCCUUUAGGGGACACCGAAUCCCUUCAUUUUAAAUUCUUCGCUUCUACUAAUUACCCUCUAUGUUUUAGAAAAGGUUUCAUCCUCCUAUCAUUUACGGUUACAAAGUAGAAGUGCUAACAAUGAUUUCUGCGAAAGGUCAAAUAACUCCGUAAGGGGUCAAAGUUCAAUUACGCAGGGUGAACUGUAUUCGUUUCUCAAGAAGUACUAUAUGAUGGACUAUAAAGUUUUUCGAUAAGUCUUAAGACGAAGAUUUUUUUUGACGGCAGGAAAAUAAUAAUAAUAACUAGUGAUCCUAAUUGUUCGCGAACAAUUAGAGGGCUUCCCACCUUCUAGCGGUUUUUCAGUAGUGUUGAAAUGCUAAAAGCCCCCCCCCCCCUACCCCAUCCCACCCUCACCCAAAAAAAAAAAAAAAAAAAAAAAAAAAUGAUUUGGCUAGAAAAGAAAUUCAAAUUUGCCGCCUAAAUUUGAGUGUUGAGGUGUGUUCAAUGCUUGGUUUCGCAUUAAGUACCCGUCAAAUUUGAGGGAGAAAAGGGGUGUGGGUGUUGGGUAGCCAGCACAUAUGCACAUAUCAGGUAAAAGUGUAAUGGGACUUGUGCAGGUGUUUGGGGUGACUUUAGACCUGUUAGAUGUGAUAUUUGGAGGUGCAAAGAAACCGGAUGUGCCAUUUUCCUAGAUUGUAGUAACUGCUGGUGCAUGCUGGGAGUCUAUACAAGCCUCAUGUUGUCAGAUGUUGUGAAGAUGCACUGGAUUUGACCGUGUGUGUUGUGGAUUGUGGAAUUGAAUAUACAGUUUGUAAUGGCUCAUCCUAUGUGUUCUAAUUCACGGAGACAAUGUCUUUCAGUCAUUUCACCCAAGGAGGCAUGCGUAUACGGAUUGAUAGGCUUUGACAACAAACAACCAAAAUGGCGGCCGGUGAAUUAGAAAGUGUCUGAGUGCAUGUAGGAUAUCUGAACGGAGAAUAGGAGUACUGCAUCCCAUCUGAUCCUGCAGUAACUGCUGGUGCAUGCUGGGAGUCUAUACAAGCCUCAUGUUGUCAGAUGUUGUGAAGAUGCACUGGAUUUGACCUCAUUUCACCCAAGGAGGCAUGCGUAUACGGAUUGAUAGGCUUUGACAACAAACAACCAAAAUGGCGGCCGGUGAAUUAGAAAGUGUCUGAGUGCAUGUAGGAUAUCUGAACGGAGAAUAGGAGUACUGCAUCCCAUCUGAUCCUGCAGGUAAGUGUUUAUUUGUUUACAAUGACAGUCAGGGUGGAAUGUCAAUGAGUUCAACUGUCAAGUAAAGUUGCAUCAUCAUUAUAAAAAAAAAAAA